rnacentral:rRNA from 1 species
GGGUUGUGAGGUUAAGCGACUAAGCGUACACGGUGGAUGCCCUGGCAGUCAGAGGCGAUGAAGGGCGUGCUAAUCUGCGAUAAGCGCCGGUAAGGUGAUAUGAACCGUUAUAACCGGCGAUACCCGAAUGGGGAAACCCAGUGUGACUCGUCACACUAUCAUUAACUGAAUCCAUAGGUUAAUGAGGCGAACCGGGGGAACUGAAACAUCUAAGUACCCCGAGGAAAAGAAAUCAACCGAGAUUCCCCCAGUAGCGGCGAGCGAACGGGGAGGAGCCCAGAGCCUGAAUCAGCAUGUGUGUUAGUGGAAGCGUCUGGAAAGGCGCGCGAUACAGGGUGACAGCCCCGUACACAAAAGCGCAUGUGCUGUGAGCUCGAUGAGUAGGGCGGGACACGUGGUAUCCUGUCUGAAUAUGGGGGGACCAUCCUCCAAGGCUAAAUACUCCUGACUGACCGAUAGUGAACCAGUACCGUGAGGGAAAGGCGAAAAGAACCCCGGCGAGGGGAGUGAAAAAGAACCUGAAACCGUGUACGUACAAGCAGUGGGAGCCCCACCACUAAGCCAGUGGUGAACUCCACAUACGCAUCCUUUGCUGAAGGCAAUGGUUAACGGAGCGAAAGCGACGUUCAACCGCAAAACAAGCAGAGGGGGCUUAGUGGUGG